ACGUACACUCCUGCGGGAGGCAGCAGUGGGGAAUCUUGCGCAAUGGGCGAAAGCCUGACGCAGCCAUGCCGCGUGAAUGAUGAAGGUCUUAGGAUUGUAAAAUUCUUUCACCGGGGACGAUAAUGACGGUACCCGGAGAAGAAGCCCCGGCUAACUUCGUGCCAGCAGCCGCGGUAAUACGAAGGGGGCUAGCGUUGCUCGGAAUUACUGGGCGUAAAGGGAGCGUAGGCGGACAUUUAAGUCAGGGGUGAAAUCCCGGGGCUCAACCUCGGAAUUGCCUUUGAUACUGGGUGUCUUGAGUAUGAGAGAGGUGUGUGGAACUCCGAGUGUAGAGGUGAAAUUCGUAGAUAUUCGGAAGAACACCAGUGGCGAAGGCGACACACUGGCUCAUUACUGACGCUGAGGCUCGAAAGCGUGGGGAGCAAACAGGAUUAGAAACCCUAGUAGUCC
rnacentral:rRNA from 1 species